GAUGAACGCUGGCGGCGUGCCUAAUACAUGCAAGUCGAGCGAACGGACGAGAAGCUUGCUUCUCUGAUGUUAGCGGCGGACGGGUGAGUAACACGUGGAUAACCUACCUAUAAGACUGGGAUAACUUCGGGAAACCGGAGCUAAUACCGGAUAAUAUUUUGAACCGCAUGGUUCAAAAGUGAAAGACGGUCUUGCUGUCACUUAUAGAUGGAUCCGCGCUGCAUUAGCUAGUUGGUAAGGUAACGGCUUACCAAGGCAACGAUGCAUAGCCGACCUGAGAGGGUGAUCGGCCACACUGGAACUGAGACACGGUCCAGACUCCUACGGGAGGCAGCAGUAGGGAAUCUUCCGCAAUGGGCGAAAGCCUGACGGAGCAACGCCGCGUGAGUGAUGAAGGUCUACGGAUCGUAAAACUCUGUUAUUAGGGAAGAACAGAUGUGUAAGUAACUGUGCACAUCUUGACGGUACCUAAUCAGAAAGCCACGGCUAACUACGUG
rnacentral:rRNA from 1 species